GGAUUAGAUACCCUGGUAGUCCACGCCGUAAACGAUGUCUACUAGCCGUUGGGGAACUUGAUUCUUUAGUGGCGCAGCUAACGCGAUAAGUAGACCGCCUGGGGAGUACGGCCGCAAGGUUAAAACUCAAAUGAAUUGACGGGGGCCCGCACAAGCGGUGGAGCAUGUGGUUUAAUUCGAAGCAACGCGAAGAACCUUACCUACUCUUGACAUCCAGUGAACUUGGUAGAGAUACCUUGGUGCCUUCGGGAACACUGAGACAGGUGCUGCAUGGCUGUCGUCAGCUCGUGCCG
rnacentral:rRNA from 1 species